GGGUUGUGAGGUUAAGCGACUAAGCGUACACGGUGGAUGCCCUGGCAGUCAGAGGCGAUGAAGGACGUGCUAAUCUGCGAAAAGCGUCGGUAAGGUGAUAUGAACCGUUAUAACCGGCGAUGUCCGAAUGGGGAAACCCAGUGUGAUUCGUCACACUAUCGUUAACUGAAUACAUAGGUUAACGAGGCGAACCGGGGAACUGAAACAUCUAAGUACCCCGAGGAAAAGAAAUCAACCGAGAUUCCCCCAGUAGCGGCGAGCGAACGGGGAGCAGCCCAGAGUCUGAAUCAGCUUGUGUGUUAGUGGAACGGUCUGGAAAGUCCGACGGUACAGGGUGAUAGUCCCGUACACCAAAAUGCACAGGCUGUGAACUCGAAGAGUAGGGCGGGACACGUGGUAUCCUGUCUGAAUAUGGGGGACCAUCCUCCAAGGCUAAAUACUCCUGACUGACCGAUAGUGAACCAGUACCGUGAGGGAAAGGCGAAAAGAACCCCGGCGAGGGGAGUGAAAAAGAACCUGAAACCGUGUACGUACAAGCAGUGGGAGCACCUUCGGGUGUGACUGCGUACCUUUUGUAUAAUGGGUCAGCGACUUAUAUUCUGUAGCAAGGUUAACCGUAUAGGGGAGCCGCAGGGAAACCGAGUCUUAACUGGGCGUUAAGUUGCAGGGUAUAGACCCGAAACCCGGUGAUCUAGCCAUGGGCAGGUUGAAGGUUGGGUAACACUAACUGGAGGACCGAACCGACUAAUGUUGAAAAAUUAGCGGAUGACUUGUGGCUGGGGGUGAAAGGCCAAUCAAACCGGGAGAUAGCUGGUUCUCCCCGAAAGCUAUUUAGGUAGCGCCUCGUGAAUUCAUCUUCGGGGGUAGAGCACUGUUUCGGCUAGGGGGUCAUCCCGACUUACCAACCCGAUGCAAACUACGAAUACCGAAGAAUGUUAUCACGGGAGACACACGGCGGGUGCUAACGUCCGUCGUGAAGAGGGAAACAACCCAGACCGCCAGCUAAGGUCCCAAAGUCAUGGUUAAGUGGGAAACGAUGUGGGAAGGCACAGACAGCCAGGAUGUUGGCUUAGAAGCAGCCAUCAUUUAAAGAAAGCGUAAUAGCUCACUGGUCGAGUCGGCCUGCGCGGAAGAUGUAACGGGGCUAAACCAUGCACCGAAGCUGCGGCAGCGACACUAUGUGUUGUUGGGUAGGGGAGCGUUCUGUAAGCCUGCGAAGGUGACCUGUGAGGGUUGCUGGAGGUAUCAGAAGUGCGAAUGCUGACAUAAGUAACGAUAAAGCGGGUGAAAAGCCCGCUCGCCGGAAGACCAAGGGUUCCUGUCCAACGUUAAUCGGGGCAGGGUGAGUCGACCCCUAAGGCGAGGCCGAAAGGCGUAGUCGAUGGGAAACAGGUUAAUAUUCCUGUACUUGGUGUUACUGCGAAGGGGGGACGGAGAAGGCUAUGUUAGCCGGGCGACGGUUGUCCCGGUUUAAGCAUGUAGGCUGGUUGUCCAGGCAAAUCCGGAUAAUCAAGGCUGAGGUGUGAUGACGAGGCACUACGGUGCUGAAGUAACAAAUGCCCUGCUUCCAGGAAAAGCCUCUAAGCAUCAGGUAACAUCAAAUCGUACCCCAAACCGACACAGGUGGUCAGGUAGAGAAUACCAAGGCGCUUGAGAGAACUCGGGUGAAGGAACUAGGCAAAAUGGUGCCGUAACUUCGGGAGAAGGCACGCUGGUGUGUAGGUGAAGUCCCUGCGGAUGGAGCUGAGACCAGUCGAAGAUACCAGCUGGCUGCAACUGUUUAUUAAAAACACAGCACUGUGCAAACACGAAAGUGGACGUAUACGGUGUGACGCCUGCCCGGUGCCGGAAGGUUAAUUGAUGGGGUUAUCCGUAAGGAGAAGCUCUUGAUCGAAGCCCCGGUAAACGGCGGCCGUAACUAUAACGGUCCUAAGGUAGCGAAAUUCCUUGUCGGGUAAGUUCCGACCUGCACGAAUGGCGUAAUGAUGGCCAGGCUGUCUCCACCCGAGACUCAGUGAAAUUGAACUCGCUGUGAAGAUGCAGUGUACCCGCGGCAAGACGGAAAGACCCCGUGAACCUUUACUAUAGCUUGACACUGAACAUUGAGCCUUGAUGUGUAGGAUAGGUGGGAGGCUUUGAAGCGUGGACGCCAGUCUGCGUGGAGCCAACCUUGAAAUACCACCCUUUAAUGUUUGAUGUUCUAACGUUGGCCCCUGACCGGGGUUGCGGACAGUGUCUGGUGGGUAGUUUGACUGGGGCGGUCUCCUCCCAAAGCGUAACGGAGGAGCACGAAGGUUAGCUAAUCCUGGUCGGACAUCAGGAGGUUAGUGCAAUGGCAUAAGCUAGCUUGACUGCGAGCGUGACGGCGCGAGCAGGUGCGAAAGCAGGUCAUAGUGAUCCGGUGGUUCUGAAUGGAAGGGCCAUCGCUCAACGGAUAAAAGGUACUCCGGGGAUAACAGGCUGAUACCGCCCAAGAGUUCAUAUCGACGGCGGUGUUUGGCACCUCGAUGUCGGCUCAUCACAUCCUGGGGCUGAAGUAGGUCCCAAGGGUAUGGCUGUUCGCCAUUUAAAGUGGUACGCGAGCUGGGUUUAGAACGUCGUGAGACAGUUCGGUCCCUAUUCUGCCGUGGGCGCUGGAGAAUUGAGGGGGCUGCUCCUAGUACGAGAGGACCGGAGUGGACGCAUCACUGGUGUUCGGGUUGUCAUGCCAAUGGCACUGCCCGGUAGCUAAAUGCGGAAGAGAUAAGUGCUGAAAGCAUCUAAGCACGAAACUUGCCCCGAGAUGAGUUCUCCCUGAGACUUUAAGUCUCCUGAAGGAACGUUGAAGACGACGACGUUGAUAGGCCGGGUGUGUAAGCGCAGCGAUGCGUUGAGCUAACCGGUACUAAUGAACCGUGAGGCUUAACCUUACAACGCCGAAG
rnacentral:rRNA from 1 species